rnacentral:rRNA from 1 species
GCUCUAGUACGAGAGGACCGGAGUGACGAACUCUGGUGUUCGGGUUGUCACGCCAGUGGCACUGCCCGGUAGCUAAGUUCGGAAUCGAUAACCGCUGAAAGCAUCUAAGCGGGAAGCGAGCCCUGAGAUGAGUCAUCCCUGACCCCUUGAGGGUCCUAAAGGGCCGUUGGAGACCACAACGUUGAUAGGUGGGGUGUGUAAGUGCAGCGAUGCAUUGAGCUAACCCAUACUAAUUACCCGUGAGGCUUAACCAUACAACACCCAAGAAGUGUUCUG